GUGGAUUUAAGAAAAAAAGGCAAUUGUUAUAUAUUUUUUCUCUCUGAAUGGUGGUCCCAGACCCCAGUUUGCUAUGGUAAAUUCUCAAAUAUACUGAAUGUCAUUUGAAUGAUACUGAAUAUAAUAUUUUGGAAAUAUAAGAGUGAUAUUUGUGCUCCCUCUCAGCUGGCUCUACCAGGCUCUGGGCAUUUGUCUAGGCUGGGAUCUCUUGUGAGUGGAGUAAAGGUGGAGACUCUAUGGGCUUUACCAACUGAUGUUCUGCUAGAAGCGUUACCUGCUCUGAGCCUUCAGACACCUGGGCUCACCCCCCCACAGGUCAACACUAUCAUCUCCAAACUCUGGGCUUCUAGUUCUGUGUCCCAGUGGAUGGAUAAAGUCAAGCCUUUGCUCUCUAGCACUCCACUCCUGAGUGUGAUUGCCCAAGUCCCUCUGCUGCUGAUCAAAGACACUGCUGUACACACUCGCCUCUGGAACACACAGCAGGCGAAAGCUCUCUUUAAAGAGGCUGUCGUCUCUCAUCCAAGUCUCUCGCUACAAGAAUUUCUGUAAGUCUGACCUUUAGAGAUUUGUGAGUUCAUUUUGUGAUUAUAAACCAGGUCUACAAAAUGAAUCAUGACACUGCUCAGUGAAGUACUUAAGCUUAAUGUUUUUUCUUUCUCUGACAUGACAGAUCUCUGGGGACACUGGCUACAGGAGUGAAUUGCUUGGACCUUAGACGAUUGUUCCAGAACCUGGCAUCUCUAUCACCUCUACGUGACAUUAUGACAUUUCUGAGAGAGCAGCCGGUGCCACUCCACCCCUCACUGGUAUCUAGUAAACCUACAUUCAAAUUCAGGACCUAAAUUUGACAGAUUACCAGUUUAGUUUAGUUUCAUCUUUAUUCGUAGUGCUUAUUCAUAAUCUUAUUCAUAGUUCACUGAAUUAAUCAAUAAACUUUUGUGCAGACCUACCUGUAAAUUGAGU
ensembl:lncRNA